CAGAACGGUCAAUGAAAUGGAUAAAGAAUACCCUUUAUUCAUUGAGAACGGUCUAUAAAUGAUGGUUUUUUUCAUAAAUUUAAGUAAACGCACGUCCCUUCACCUGAUGUGACUACUGCAACAGAUAAACAGAGAGAACAAUACUUAUUUAACUUUAACCUCAAAAAUCAAAACAACACAAUGGAAGAGAAAAGUUAUCCAACCCCCUAUUCAACGGGGCCAACUACUCCAUUGGAUUUUGAUCAACAACAGCAAAUUCCGUCGUACCCCGUUAAUCAAGGGUUACAACAACCACCUUCCCAAUACGACAACCACAAGCAGCCACCACCUCUAAAUCCAUAUAACACUGCACCUACUGUGCCAGUUCCCUAUGUUGCACAACCCCAACCAACAGUUGCUGCAUUAAAUUCUACUCUGCGAGCCCACCGACCGAGACGAAUAUUUGGAAUUAGAAAGCGUAAGGAUCUGUACAUCGUUCUGGGUAUAUUAGGCGGAAUAUUUCUGGUUACCGUGAUUAUUGGAAUAGUUAUAGGUGUGGUUGCGUCAUGAGAUAUCAGCGAGUCUAAUAGGAGAUACGAAGAAUUUCGAAAAAAACAUUUCCCUGGGUUAAACUGAAUAUUUAGCCUAUUUCUGGUUGCUUGCAUAUUAUCAUCUAUUCUACUGAACGAUGUUUAUAUAAUGUUGCAUUUGAGUUUGAUGAUUACCUUAAUUAUGAGCUGAUGCUAAGAAUAUUACUAUGGGCUCGUAUGCCUAAUCGUAAAGUAAGUGAUUAUAAUGGUUGUUUUAUCACGGUGUGUCCUACUUUAGAGAUAGAGAUUUGCAGUUUUCACGACUUGUUGCCAUUUUUUUGUGAAUACUAUCACAAACAAAAUCAUUUUAGCUUUCUAAGAUACAGGGUAAAAACGAAAAGUUUAUCUUUUUGGGAUCCAGUGGCGUAGUCAAAAAAUUUUUUGGACCACUGGUUCUGAGAUUGACCAAAAGUUGGUAUUUUUAUUUUUUUUGCAUUCUUUUUCCUGAUUACAUUGAUGUAUCACAACCAAUACUUUUUUAUAUGAUUAUACACUAUACAGAGUUUAAGACGACAUAGGAUUUUACAUGUUAAUUUUAUUGAAUAUUAACGUUUUCUAGUUAUUUACUCCAUUUUGUGAUACCUCAAAUUGUAUAAAGUCCUACGGCCAGUUUCAAAAAAACUCACUAUGUUAUAUUAUAUUUUUCAAAAUUUUGAAAUAGCAUGCUUCCACAGUUCUACUGUCAGCGACUUUUAUAGUUUGGUCUUAGCAUAAAGUAAAUAAUUUACUCGAUGGUCUUAGUUACCAUGGAUGCGAUAAAUAAAACAAAAACUAUUUAAAAACCGAAAAAAUAAGGUUUUUAUUUUUGGUUCAUGGCUUAAAUUUAAAAAAAACUAUAGGUUGUGAUACAUCAAUAUAACCAGAAAAAAGUAUGCAAAAAAUUGACGUUAAGAUAUACAGGGUGUUGAAUUUAAAAAACACCAAAUUUGGGUCAAAUUUCGGAAACGACGGUCCAAAUCCACUGAAUUCUACAAUAUCAGUUUUUCCUUUUUUCUCUUUUACAUGGGUGGUAACAUAAUAAUUAUGAUAAUAUCCCAAAAGAUUUAACUUUUCGUUUUCACCCUGUAUCUCAGAAACAAAUGUAGCUAGAUUGAUUCUGUUUGCGGUAUUACAAAGUUUCACAAAAACGGGACGCAGCACAAGGUCGCGAAAACCGCAAGUCUCUUUCUAUAAAAACAGCGGAGAUACACUGCAGUCUCAACCAAAAUAGGUCACAUGGUACAAUCUUUUCUAUGGUGGACAAAUUUCUUUUUUCCACAUCAACUGCUUUGAAACUACACAAAAACAAACAUGAAAUUGAUUUGAAAGUUGUACUUUACAAACACACAUUAAAAGCACCUCCUACUCGCAUUUGUAAUUGGUGCCACUAUACCAUUAUACUUGUGUGAAAACUGCGCUUUUCAAAACUUGUACAUAAAAUUUGCAUUUCAAAUUUGUUUGUUUGCAAAUAUCUAUUUUUUGAGGGAUCUAGUUGACACAAUAAUAUGAUUGCAUAUGUAAUUAUCAAAAUCUCUAUACUCUACAAAAUGUGUGUCAGCAGAAAAUGGGAUGUUGGAUAUAAUGGAGUUUUCCUAUUUUUGUGUGUUAUAUUACAUAUAUGUGGUAAAGUUUAUAAAUAUAUCUUUACAUUUUACUAAGCAUAUUACAAUUUUUUCUGUUCCUUAAUU